AUUGAACGCUGGCGGCAUGCCUUACACAUGCAAGUCGAACGGUAACGCGGGCAAGCCUGGCGACGAGUGGCGAACGGGUGAGUAAUGCAUCGGAACGUGCCCAGUAGUGGGGAUGACCCGGCGAAAGCCGGAUUAAUACCGCAUACGACCUAAGGGUGAAAGCGGGAGUCGCAAGACCUCGCGCUAUUGGAGCGGCCGAUGUCAGAUUAGGUAGUUGGUGGGGUAAAGGCCUACCAAGCCGACGAUCUGUAGCUGGUCUGAGAGGACGACCAGCCACACUGGGACUGAGACACGGCCCAGACUCCUACGGGAGGCAGCAGUGGGGAAUUUUGGACAAUGGGCGCAAGCCUGAUCCAGCCAUGCCGCGUGCGGGAAGAAGGCCUCGGGUUGUAAACCGCUUUUGUCAGGGAAGAAAUCCUCUGGGUUAAUACCUCGGGGAGGUGACGGUACCUGAAGAAUAAGCACCGGCUAACUACGUGCCAGC
rnacentral:rRNA from 1 species